CUCUGCCGGCAUUAUCAGAAGCACCAGGUGAUGAGAAAGGUGGAUGCGCUGAAGCACGAAGCAGCGUGGGACUGCAAUGAGCUACUGAUCCUUAACAAAUAAUUUGCCCCUCAGGGUUCCUGACACUGAUGCCGCGAGGAAACAGAGCUGGCUGAAGUUCACUCACAAGGAGGAGAAAGGGAAAUAAAUUAAACCCAACUUUCCUUGGCAGCUGUGUUUGCAGAGGAAAAACACCACUUCAUCCCAAACACCAGUGCAAUCCCCAAAGAUGGUCGAUCUUGGGACCGGUGCUCUUCAACAUCUUCAACAGAUGAGGGCAUCAAGUGCACCCUCAGCAAGUUUGCGGAUGACACCAAGCUCAGCGGUGCAGUCGAUACGUUGGAAGGAAGGGAAGCCAUCCAGAGGGACCUGGAGAGGCUGGAGAAGCAGGCCCAUGAAAACCUAAUGAGGUUCAAUAACUUGCAAUACUGCACUUGGGUCAAGG
ensembl:lncRNA